GCACCUUCUUGUUUAGAUCAGCAGACUAGAUCCCAAGCAAUUAAGGGUGGUUUGUUUGUGUGAACCAUACAAGUCCAGAUAAUUCCUACAAAUUGUGACUACCUUGUUUUAGCACUUUCCUCGAGAGCAGGAACAUUGAAGCCCAGUAUGUCUGUAUGUGCAUGAGGACAGAGUUUACUAAGUGAGUUCUUCCUGCAUAUGAAAGAUUCCUUGAACCCCAGGUCUUGAUUCUACACAUCAUUUUAUCCAGUAGCAUCUCACAAUUCGCUGCUGACAGUUUCCUUGAUGAUAUAGGCACCCCCAGGUAUUUAAAAGGUAGUUUACCAUGAGAUAUCCAGUUAAGUCAUAUAACUCUGAUAACUCUUUUUCAUCCAUCCUUGCCGAGAAGAUAUUUGACUUAUUUGCAUUAGUAGUUAGACCUGAUGCCAUGGAGAAAGUCUUCAGACCCCUCAACAUUAAGAGAAUUGAUCGAAUAUCACCUUUGCUGAAAAUUAACAUGUCAUUAGCAAAACAAAGGUGAUUCAACUUUAAGCUUUUGCACUUGGUGUGAAAUUCAAAAUCCUCUUGAUUAGCAAUCCAUCUCAUAAUCCUAGAGAAAUAUUCCAAGCAUACUACAAAAAGUAGAAGUGAUAAUGGAUCACCUUGUCUCAAACCUCUUUUACCUACUAUAUUGCCAUGCACCCCUCCAUUUAUAGCUAUUGAAUACACUGGCGUCUUAGCACAUGCCAUCACCCAUCUUAUGUAUUUACUUGGGAAGUUCAACGCGUGCAACAUUUCCUCCACAAAAUCCCAUUCAACUGAGUCAUAAGCCAUUUUUAGGUCUAUCUUAAUGAGGCAACUUUUUGUGGUGUUUUUCCUAUUGUAUAACCUGACCAAAUCCCGACAUAUCAAAAUGUUUUGUACUAUAUAUCUCUUCCGGCCACAAACGCACUUGGAUUUUCAGAAAUUAUCUUUGGUAACACUCCUUUUAGUUGACGGCAUAGCAUUUUAGAGAUAAUUUUAUAGAGAAUGUUACAACACGAUAUAGGUCUAUACUCCACAACGGACUCUGCAUGUACACAUUUAGGUAUUAAGGUAAUUAUUGUAGAGUUUAUACCUCUCAGUAGUUCUCCAGUUCUGAAAAACUCCAGCACCCCUGCUAUAACAUCAUCACCCGUUGUGCUCCAUGUGUCUUUGUAAAACUGGCUUCCAUAGCCAUCAGGACCAGGUGCCUUAUCACCUCCAAUAGCCCAAAGGGCUUGUUUAACUUCUUCUGCAGUGAACUUUUUUAUAAGCUCAUCUCUUUGUGUAUCCAUCACCAAGGGUCCAGACCUUACUAGGUUGCUAUCAGCAUCUGUUCUAGUCCCUGUCUCAGUGCCUAAUAACCUUCUAUAAUACCUUCUAUAUCCCGUCUCUCAACCCCAUCCAUGUCUUUUACAAAAAAAAAAUUUGUUAGUGUUCCUUCUUGCCUUCAACUGUGUGUGAAAAAAUCGAGUGUUUAAGUCCCCCUCCUGUAGCCACUUGACUUUACAUUUUUGUUGUAAGAAUUUUUCACAAGCUAGCUUCCAAUAUUUCUAUUCAAUUGUUGCUGCAGCUUCUUUCUUAAUCAGUUCACUAUUUCUGGGGUCAUUUUGUAAUUGCAUCUGGUACUUCAUCAAGAUAUCUCUAGCUGAAUCAGCCUUCUUUUCCACUUCAUAGAAUCUCUCCUUAUUGAGUUUAAGUAGUAACCCUUUCAGCCUGUGUAGUUUACCAACCACCUGAAACAUCUUUCUCCCAGUUUUAGGUGCCUGCCAACUAGUAGUAACCAUCCUUCAAAAAUUUGGUGCUAGCCCCCACAUGUUAUAGUAUUUAAACUGCUUUUUCGGCUUGUAGUUUCCAUCAUCCCAAUGCACUAUUACUGAACUAUGGUCUGAAAGACCCUCAUUCAAAAAUUUGCUUCACUCGCUGGGAGAUCAGUAUGCCACUGAUGAUUAGCUAACACUAUCGAUUUUACUUACCACCCUUUCCUCCCCUUGUUGUUUAUUUGUCCAAGUAUAGUAGGACCCUGAAGAUUUCAGAUCUUGGAGCUGGCAUAUCUCUACACAAUAUUUGAAGUCUCUUAUUUCUGCAACUGUUACUUUACUACCUACUCUCUCCUCCACGUUCAACACAUUGUUGAAAUCCCCCAUAACAGCCCAAGGUCCCUGUAUAUUGUUAUAUAUCUCCAUAAUCUCUUCCUUUCAUUACUGUCAUUCAUUCCAUACACCAUAGUGAUACUCAUUUUACGACUUGAUCCUCUGUGCUCUACUUGACAAUGAAUCAGUUGAUCAGUAAUCAAACCAACAUUAACAUCAUAAUUGAAGGUUUCCAGAUGACCCAAAUUCUUCCUCCAGGAUGGCAUCCAUAGUUAGUUACUAGUGACCAAUCCUUACUUAGGGUAAGAGCAGCUUUUGUAGCUUUUGCUCUCUUAGCCUUCCUCUCUAAGAGGCCAAACAGACUUAUCUUCUUGUUAUGCAGAAAAAACUGCAUUUCAUGUUGUUUAUCCACUCUGUUCAGCCCCCUAGAGUUCCAGCAUCCAAUCCUAUCCAUCGGGUAGGGGUGAAACCCCACCCCCUUCUUUCCCAGGGUCCGUACAUCUUUUGACCUCUCCAGACCUGAGGCUUCUUGUAUCAUCCUGUAUAUCCUCCAUCAAUGUUAGUGUAUCAAAAGAAUUUCUUGUCUCAGCUUGCGUAUUUACCUUCUGCAGCGGACUUAGGCCUUUCGUCCCUUCUAUCUCUGUCCAUUCAGCCCCGUCACUAGUAGCUUUAUGCUGGUUCUGUGGCAUCUCCUGUACUAUCUUCCCCUUUAUAUCUUUUUUAGCUUGAUCCAUUUCUUGUCGUCUACACUCAUCUUCAUGGUGCCCGAAAUUCUUACACUUGUUACAUAGUAUAGGUCUCCAUUCGUAUACUACUUGUUGCUCAACUAUUCUACCCACUUAAUUCUCGAACAUAAUUACUUUAGGAUUUUCUCUAUUGAUCGGCACUUCUACUAGCACUCUGGCGAAAGUCAUCCUUUCCCUAUUCGAUGUAGCAGAAUCUGCCUUGAUUGGACUGCCUACUAAUCCGGCUAUCUAAUUCAAAGCAUUUAACCCCCAACAUUUCACCUCUAACCCGAUUAAUCGCACCCAAAUUGGUACUUUAUCCAUUCCUUCCUUUGAAAUAUCAAUAUCUGCUUUCCAAGGUCUAAUUACUACUGUUUUUUUGUCAAACAUCAACACACCUUCUUCCACAAUCUUCUCCCUUUCUUCCAUGCUGUUGAAUCGCACCAGAAAUACCCCUUUGUUUACUAGAGCUACUUUCUCCAUUCCCUUAUUUUUCCAGAUCCUCUUGGAAAAACCUUCCAUCACCACCUUGGGUGGGUUAGAGCCCAUUACACAACACACCACCGCCGUGGACCAAUAGUCAAUUUCAUCCUGCACAUCCUCCAUUGUGAUUUUCACAUUUUUGCUAGAGUUUCCAUCACACGUAAGGUCCAUCCUUACUGAACAUUCCUGUGAGCCUACAACACCACUCCAUGUAGGUUGCAUUCGUUCCUCAUUCCCAAUGUUUCUUUUAGGAGUACCUGCAGUUUCCUCUGCUUCGGCUGCAUCCGCCCAAGAUCGCCUACUCGAUCCAGCAUUUGGACUCAACUCAUUCGCUGUCAGUUGACUCAUACUCAAACCACCUGACUGCGUAAAUGCAAUUGGGGCAAUUCCCUGUAAGAUCUGAACAUUCUUCGUCUUAUUCGUGUCCGCCGUUUGGGGAACCUCUCUAGUGACCAUCCUAGUUUUUGCCAGUACUGUUUGUCCUUGCCCUCUCCCUCCAGUUUUUGCUUUCCGAGCCAUGUUCAGCGAUUGCCGAUUGGAAAUCGCAUUCUAGAGAAAGAAGAUUUCUUGACAGAUUUUAUCCAGUAAAUAAAUUAUUUUGAGAAAGGAAAACAUUACUUAGGCCCUGCUGGUCUAGGAGUGACUCUGGAAUAGGACCUUCCAGCUGAUUUUGUUUUAGAGCAACAUAAGACAAUGAUUUGGACUUGAACUCUGGAAUUUUUCCUCUGAAAUUGUUUUCACUCAAGUUUAACAAAGAUAAUGACGGGAGGGAGAAUAUCCAGGAAGGUAUAGUCUCAUUCAAGUAGUUUGAUGACAAGCUGAACAAUUGUAGGUUUUGCAGUCCACUUACGUUGGAAGGAAUUGAACCAAUUACGGAAUUAGACGAAAAAUCCAAGAAUUCAAGUUGCGCCCAGCUUCUGUUAAAGGAUAAGCACUCAAGUUGGCCAUCGAAUUAGUUAUUUCCAAGUGAUAACCUCUUGAGCUUUCCAAAUUUCAAGAACUGGGAAAUUGGUCCUUCAAGAUGGCUAUUACGAAGGUUCAAAAUCUGUAUGCUGGUGAGAUUCCAUAGAGGUCUAGGAAUGGGCCCUGAGAGAUUUGAAGAACUCAUGUCCAAGUCAAGCAAUGAAAGAUGGCCAAAUGAUUAAGGUAUCCUACCAGCAGCAUUCACACCAUAGAGAUCUAAAUCCAUCAGUGAUGCAUUGCUAUUCCAUUUGGUCGUGGGAAACCUAACAGUGAGCUGGUGAUUGUACAACAAAUCAAGAAGUUCUAAGUUGGAAAGGUGGAAAACUCUUUCGGGCAAUAUCCCAAAUAACUCUGUGUGUGAAAGUCCGAGAGUUGUUAAAUAAGAUGAGAAAUUCAGCGGAAUGGUGGAAGAGAUGUUCACACGGUAAAGGUCAAGCUUUCUUAAUUGUGUCAAGUUCAUAAGGAGCAAUUCAAAAUUGUGAGGUUCAAAUCUAUGCACGUAAUCACCAUGGAAAUAAGAACGUAUAAUUUAGAAAGGUGAGAGAUUUCAGAUGGGAUUAGACCUGUAAAACCUGAAUACGACAAAUCAAGAUGUGUCAACUAGAAAACUGACCAAAUUUAAGUGAAAUGAAAGACCCAGAAAAAUCAUUAUGAGAAAAAUUAAGCCUUUUGAGAUUGGAGAGUUGAAAGAGGCUAUUGUUGGAAUGCAACUUGCCAUGAAGUUGGCUACAAUGGAGAUCAAGCUCAAUCACUUGUCCUGUCAUCUCGUCACAAUGAACUCCCUCCCAUGAGCAACAAUCCGUGCUAUCGUUCCAUGAACGCGUUUUUGGAUAUGGAUUAAUCAAUUAAUCUUUAAAAGAACAAUAAUCAGAAGCAUUAGGAUUAAUGAUAAACAUUCGCGUGAACUGUAGAAGAGAAAUGGCUUGAUCAUUGGGACAUAAAUGAGGUGAAGAAAAAGCAAGUUGAUAGAGAAAGGCAUGCAGCAAAAAUAAUGAUAGUUUUCCG
rnacentral:lncRNA from 1 species